UCCCUCUCCUCUCCCCUUCCUGCUAUCCUGUUUCCCACUCCUCUAUCUCCUUCCUUCUCGCCUCCUCAUCCCGCCUUCUCUCUGGUCCCCAGCGUUCCUCCGGCUUCCCCCUUCCCUCGGGAGCAAAGGGACUGUGAGGUGUAUGUCUGCUCUGAGGGAGGAGGGGCAGAAGCCACAGCUACCUGAGGGGUCCCCCCACCCACCCCUGCUGGGAGAAAGGACAGCAGUGGGAAGGGUCUCCUCUCUAGCUCCCUUCCCGCGGCCCCUCCCUGCCUCCACCCCUCCUGUCUGCUCCUUCUCCCAGAAUUAAGUUCCUGAGGCCUGACUUGACACCCCCGAAGCUGAGGGCUGCCACUGCCUGCCCGGAACUGCCCCGGGUGACCUGUUUCCAAGCCUGGCCCCUAGGACUCCUCUCUACCUUCAGACACCCAGGCUGCUGCCCUGGUCUCUCUCAUUCUGUCUCUUGCCACUGUUCUGUUUCUGUCUCUCAUCCAGUCAUUUCUGUCUCUGCUGGACAGUCCCUGAGUCAGUCUAGCUGUCAGUCAUGCUGUAUCUCUAGCCUCUGGGUCGGCCUCCCUCCCCGGUCACCUCCCCCUGUCCCCCACCCUGUAUCCUCUUCCUUCAGCUCUGGCUCCCAACUCCUGUCUCAUGAGCCCAGUCCCCCUUCAAGGACUGCACUGGCAGUGUGGGCUGGAGACAGGGCCUAGAGAAGUGGGGCUCCCCCUUGUGGGAGGGACUUUCUCCCACUCUCAACCCCGCCUGAGGCUGCUCUCCUUGUCAUCUCAUCCUGACCCUAGACACCUUAAGGCCACACCUCCAUGAAUCCCAACUCUGUAAUUUUAAGCCCUUUCUCUGGUAGCCCCGCCUCCUCCAAUACCUGGCUACAUGCCCAACCUGGGAGGACAGAGACCAGAUUUGGGAUUCCAAGCCCUCCCAGCAUCCCCUCUGCUGUGUUCCUCCCCAGUUCUCUACUCGGAGUUGACUGACCAGAGAUUUAUCAGCUUGGAGAGCUGGAGGUGUGGAUCCAUGGGGUAGCCUCAACGCAUCUUCCCCUCCGCCCCAGCUGCUCAUGGGCCACGUGGCCUGGCCCGGCCUCGGCACCCAGGGCCAGUGAACAGAGCCCUGGCUGGAGUCCAAACAUGUGGGGCCUGGUGAGGCUCCUGCUGGCCUGGCUGGGUGGCUGGGGAUGCAUGGGGCGUCUGGCAGCCCCAGCCCGGGCCUGGGCAGGGUCCCGGGGACACCCAGGGCCUGCUCUGCUGCGGACUCGAAGGAGCUGGGUCUGGAACCAGUUCUUUGUCAUUGAGGAAUAUGCUGGUCCAGAGCCUGUCCUCAUUGGCAAGCUGCACUCGGAUGUUGACCGGGGAGAGGGCCGCACCAAGUACCUGUUGACCGGGGAGGGGGCAGGCACCGUAUUUGUGAUUGAUGAGGCCACAGGCAAUAUUCACGUUACCAAGAGCCUUGACCGGGAGGAAAAGGCACAAUAUGUGCUACUGGCCCAAGCCGUGGACCGAGCCUCCAACCGGCCCCUGGAGCCCCCAUCAGAGUUCAUCAUCAAAGUGCAAGACAUCAACGACAAUCCACCCAUUUUUCCCCUUGGACCCUACCAUGCCACCGUGCCCGAGAUGUCCAAUGUCGGGACAUCAGUGAUCCAGGUGACUGCUCACGAUGCUGAUGACCCCAGCUAUGGGAACAGCGCCAAGCUGGUGUACACUGUUCUGGAUGGACUGCCUUUCUUCUCUGUGGACCCCCAGACUGGAGUGGUGCGUACAGCCAUCCCCAACAUGGACCGGGAGACACAGGAGGAGUUCUUGGUGGUGAUCCAGGCUAAGGACAUGGGCGGCCACAUGGGGGGGCUGUCAGGCAGCACUACGGUGACCGUCACACUCAGCGAUGUCAACGACAAUCCCCCCAAGUUCCCACAGAGCCUAUACCAGUUCUCCGUGGUGGAGACAGCUGGACCUGGCACGCUGGUGGGCCGGCUCCGGGCCCAGGACCCAGACCUGGGGGACAACGCCCUGAUGGCAUACAGCAUCCUGGAUGGGGAGGGGUCCGAGGCCUUCAGCAUCAGCACAGACUCCCAGGGUCGAGACGGGCUCCUCACUGUCCGCAAGCCCCUAGACUUCGAGAGCCGGCGCUCCUACGCCUUCCGUGUCGAGGCCACCAACACGCUCAUCGACCCAGCCUAUCUGCGGCGAGGGCCCUUCAAGGAUGUGGCCUCUGUGCGUGUGGUGGUGCAAGAUGCCCCAGAGCCACCUGCCUUCACCCAGGCUGCCUACCACCUGACCGUGCCCGAGAACAAGGCCCCAGGGACCCUGGUAGGCCAGAUCUCAGCGGCUGACCUGGACUCCCCUGCCAGCCCAAUCAGAUACUCCAUCCUCCCCCACUCGGAUCCGGAGCGUUGCUUCUCUAUCCAGCCCGAAGAAGGGACCAUCCACACAGCAGCACCCCUGGACCGCGAGGCUCGUGUCUGGCACAACCUCACUGUGCUGGCUACAGAGCUCGACAGCUCUGCACAGGCCUCGCGCGUGCAAGUGACCAUCCAGACCCUGGAUGAGAAUGACAAUGCUCCCCAGUUGGCUGAGCCCUACGAUACCUUUGUGUGUGACUCUGCAGCUCCUGGCCAGCUGAUUCAGGUCAUCCAGGCCCUGGACAGAGAUGAAGUUGGCAACAGUAGCCAUGUCUCCUUUCAAGGUCCUCUGGGCCCCGAUGCCAACUUUACUGUCCGGGACAACCGAGAUGGCUCCGCCAGCCUGCUGCUGCCCUCCCGCCCUGCUCCACCCCGCCAGGCCCCCUACUUGGUUCCCAUAGAACUGUGGGACUGGGGGCAGCCGGCACUGAGCAGCACUGCCACAGUGACUGUUAGUGUGUGCCGCUGCCAGCCUGACGGCUCUGUGGCAUCCUGCUGGCCUGAGGCUCACCUCUCAGCUGCUGGGCUCAGCACCGGCGCCCUGCUUGCCAUCAUCACCUGUGUGGGUGCCCUGCUUGCCCUGGUAGUGCUCUUCGUGGCCCUGCGGCGGCAGAAGCAGGAAGCAUUGAUGGUACUGGAGGAGGAGGACGUCCGAGAGAACAUCAUCACCUACGACGACGAGGGCGGCGGCGAGGAGGACACCGAGGCCUUCGACAUCACGGCCCUGCAGAACCCGGACGGGGCGGCCCCCCAGGCGCCCGGCCCUCCCGCGCGCCGAGACGUGCUGCCCCGGGCUCGGGUGUCGCGCCAGCCCAGACCCCCCGGCCCCGCCGACGUGGCGCAGCUCCUGGUGCUGCGGCUCCGCGAGGCGGACGAGGACCCCAGCGUACCCCCGUACGACUCGGUACAGGUGUACGGCUACGAGGGCCGGGGCUCCUCCUGCGGCUCCCUCAGCUCCCUGGGAUCCGGCAGCGAAGCCGGCGGCGUCCCCGGCCCCGCGGAGCCGCUGGACGACUGGGGUCCGCUCUUCCGCACCCUGGCGGAGCUGUAUGGGGCCAAAGAGCCCCCGGCCCCCUGAGCGCCCGCGCUGGCCCGGCCCACCGCGCGGGGGCAGCCGGCACAGGCCCUCUGAGUGAGCCCCACGGGGUCCAGGCGGGCGGCAGCAGCCCAGGGGCCUCAGGCCUCCUCCCUGUCCCUGUGUCCCUCCUUGCUUCCCCGGGGCACCCUCGCUCUCACCUCCCUCCUCCUGAGUCGGUCUGUGUGUCUCUCUCCAGGAAUCUUUGUCUCUAUCUGUGACACACUCCUCUGUCCGGGCCUGGGUUUCCUGGCCCUGGCCCUGGCCCUGCGUUCUCUCACUGUGAUUCCUCUCCUUCCUCCGUGGCUGUUUUGUCUCUGCAGUUCUGAAGUUCACACAUAGUCUCCCUGUGUCUCCCUUGCCCAUACACAUGCUCUGUGUCUGCCUUCUGCCCACAUCUCCUUUCCUUCUCUCUGGGUCCCUGUGACUGGCUUUUUGUUUUUUUUCUGUUGUCCAUCCCAAAAUCAAGAGAAACUUCCAGCCACUGCUGCCCACCCUCCUGCAGGGGAUGCUGUGCCCCAGACCUGCCUGCAUGGUUCCAUCCAUCACUCAUGGCCUCAGCCUCAUCCUGGCUUCACUGGCCUCCAGCUGAGAGAGGGAACCAGCCCGCCUCCCAGGGCAAGAGCUCCAGCCUCCCGUGUGGCCGCCUCCCUGGAGCUCUGCCCAGCUGUCACCUUACCCUGGGCAUCCCAGCCCUGGGCAUUGUCUUGUGUGCUUCCUGAGGGAGUAGGGAAAGGAAAGGGGAAGGCGGCUGGGGAAGGGGAAAGAGGGAGGAAGGGGAGGGGCCUCCAUCUCUAAUUUCAUAAUAAACAAACACUUUAUUUUGUAAAGCUG